AUUGAACGCUGGCGGCAGGCCUAACACAUGCAAGUCGAGCGGAUGAAGGGAGCUUGCUCCUGGAUUCAGCGGCGGACGGGUGAGUAAUGCCUAGGAAUCUGCCUGGUAGUGUGGGAUAACGUCCGGAAACGGGCGCUAAUACCGCAUACGUCCUGAGGGAGAAAGGGGGGGAUCUUCGGACCUCACGCUAUCAGAUGAGCCUAUGUCGGAUUAGCUAGUUGGUGGGGUAAAGGCCUACCAAGGCGACGAUCCGUAACUGGUCUGAGAGGAUGAUCAGUCACACUGGAACUGAGACACGGUCCAGACUCCUACGGGAGGCAGCAGUGGGGAAUAUUGGACAAUGGGCGAAAGCCUGAUCCAGCCAUGCCGCGUGUGUGAAGAAGGUCUUCGGAUUGUAAAGCACUUUAAGUUGGGAGGAAGGGCAGUAAGUUAAUACCUUGCUGUUUUGACGUUACCAACAGAAUAAGCACCGGCUAACUUCGUG
rnacentral:rRNA from 1 species